ACAAGUAUGGCUUAGUGGUCAGAGCGCUUGUACGAUUUCCAAGAGGCAUGGGUUCAAAUCCCACUACAUUCA
rnacentral:tRNA from 1 species